CUUCACAGCCUGGGAGCCAGGCGCUGUGCAGGGGUGGGCCUCGCCUCUGUUGGCCCUCGCUCCCCACGUAGUCCUCAGGUGUAAAUUAACAGCGACCAAACGUGCGUGGACCGAAUGUAUAGGAAGGGCCACGCAGCAGGUUGGUGUCAUUGUCCCUACCUCAGAGUCGAGAGAAAAAAGGCGUGAUCCUACACAAGGCAACUUCUCAGACACAGCGAGCAAAGCGGAGAUCCCCAGGGGCUGGAGGAAGGGAUCUGAGGCCUUACCACCUCAUCAUUGCAGAAUUCGUCUGGAGGGACGGAAACACUCCAGAAACAGGCAGCUGGUGAUUGUGGCAAAUUCGAAUGUGCUCAGUGCCGCUGAAUUGUACACUUAAAAAAGCUUAAG